UACGGAGGAUCCGAGCGUUAUCCGGAUUUAUUGGGUUUAAAGGGUGCGUAGGCGGCCUGUUAAGUCAGGGGUGAAAGACGGUAGCUCAACUAUCGCAGUGCCCUUGAUACUGAUGGGCUUGAAUGUACUAGAGGUAGGCGGAAUGUGACAAGUAGCGGUGAAAUGCAUAGAUAUGUCACAGAACACCAAUUGCGAAGGCAGCUUACUAUGGUAUUAUUGACGCUGAGGCACGAAAGCGUGGGGAUCAAACAGGAUUAGAACU
rnacentral:rRNA from 1 species